rnacentral:rRNA from 1 species
UGCAUGGUUGUCGUCAGCUCGUGCCGUGAGGUGUCGGGUUAAGGUCCCAUAACGAGCGCAACCCCUACCUUUAGUUGCCAUCAGGUUAAGCUGGGGACGUCUAAAGGAACUGCCUACGCAAGUAGUGAGGAAGGCGGGGAUGACGUCAAAUCAGCACGGCCCUUACGUCCAGGGCUACACACGUGCUACAAUGGCCGAUACAGAGGGCAGCUACCUGGUGACAGGAUGCAAAUCUCCAAAGUCGGUCUCAGUUCGGAUCGGAGUCUGCAACCCGACUCCGUGAAGUUGGAUUCGCUAGUAAUCGCGCAUCAGCCAUGGCGCGGUGAAUACGUUCCCGGGCCUU